AAAUUUAGGUUAAAUAGACCAAGAGCCUUCAAAGCGCUAAGAAAGUAAACUAGUACUUAAUUUCUG
rnacentral:tRNA from 2 species